GAAACGGUGGCUAAUACCGCAUAACGUCGCAAGACCAAAGAGGGGGACCUUCGGGCCUCUUGCCAUCAGAUGUGCCCAGAUGGGAUUAGCUUGUUGGUGAGGUAACGGCUCACCAAGGCGACGAUCCCUAGCUGGUCUGAGAGGAUGACCAGCCACACUGGAACUGAGACACGGUCCAGACUCCUACGGGAGGCAGCAGUGGGGAAUAUUGCACAAUGGGCGCAAGCCUGAUGCAGCCAUGCCGCGUGUAUGAAGAAGGCCUUCGGGUUGUAAAGUACUUUCAGCGGGGAGGAAGGUGUUGUGGUUAAUAACCGCAGCAAUUGACGUUACCCGCAGAAGAAGCACCGGCUAACUCCGUGCCAGCAGCCGCGGUAAUACGGAGGGUGCAAGCGUUAAUCGGAAUUACUGGGCGUAAAGCGCACGCAGGCGGUCUGUCAAGUCGGAUGUGAAAUCCCCGGGCUCAACCUGGGAACUGCAUUCGAAACUGGCAGGCUUGAGUCUUGUAGAGGGGGGUAGAAUUCCAGGUGUAGCGGUGAAAUGCGUAGAGAUCUGGAGGAAUACCGGUGGCGAAGGCGGCCCCCUGGACAAAGACUGACGCUCAGGUGCGAAAGCGUGGGGAGCAAACAGGAUUAGAUACCCUGGUAGUCCACGCCGUAAACGAUGUCUACUUGGAGGUUGUGCCCUUGAGGCGUGGCUUCCGGAGCUAACGCGUUAAGUAGACCGCCUGGGGAGUACGGCCGCAAGGUUAAAACUCAAAUGAAUUGACGGGGGCCCGCACAAGCGGUGGAGCAUGUGGUUUAAUUCGAUGCAACGCGAAGAACCUUACCUGGUCUUGACAUCCACAGAACUUUCCAGAGAUGGAUUGGUGCCUUCGGGAACUGUGAGACAGGUGCUGCAUGGCUGUCGUCAGCUCGUGUUGUGAAAUGUUGGGUUAAGUCCCGCAACGAGCGCAACCCUUAUCCUUUGUUGCCAGCGGUCCGGCCGGGAACUCAAAGGAGACUGCCAGUGAUAAACUGGAGGAAGGUGGGGAUGACGUCAAGUCAUCAUGGCCCUUACGACCAGGGCUACACACGUGCUACAAUGGCGCAUACAAAGAGAAGCGACCUCGCGAGAGCAAGCGGACCUCAUAAAGUGCGUCGUAGUCCGGAUUGGAGUCUGCAACUCGACUCCAUGAAGUCGGAAUCGCUAGUAAUCGUGGAUCAGAAUGCCACGGUGAAUACGUUCCCGGGCCUUGUACACACCGCCCGUCACACCAUGGGAGUGGGUUGCAAAAGAAGUAGGUAGCUUAACCUUCGGGAGGGCGCUUACCACUUUGUGAUUCAUGACUGGGGUGAAGUCGUAACAAGGUAACCGUAGGGGAACCUGC
rnacentral:rRNA from 1 species